GCGGACGUGGCGGAACUGGUAGACGCAAGGGACUUAAAAUCCCUCGACCUCCGGUCGUACGGGUUCGAUUCCCGUCGUCCGCACCA
rnacentral:tRNA from 2 species